CCCCAGACUCCUACGGGAGGCAGCAGUGGGGAAUAUUGCACAAUGGGGGAAACCCUGAUGCAGCGACGCCGCGUGAGCGAUGAAGUAUUUCGGUAUGUAAAGCUCUAUCAGCAGGGAAGAAGAUGACGGUACCUGACUAAGAAGCCCCGGCUAACUACGUGCCAGCAGCCGCGGUAAUACGUAGGGGGCAAGCGUUAUCCGGAUUUACUGGGUGUAAAGGGAGCGUAGACGGCGAUGCAAGCCAGAUGUGAAAGCCCGGGGCUCAACCCCGGGACUGCAUUUGGAACUGUGUGGCUGGAGUGUCGGAGAGGCAGGCGGAAUUCCUAGUGUAGCGGUGAAAUGCGUAGAUAUUAGGAGGAACACCAGUGGCGAAGGCGGCCUGCUGGACGAUGACUGACGUUGAGGCUCGAAAGCGUGGGGAGCAAACAGGAUUAGAUACCCGAGUAA
rnacentral:rRNA from 1 species